rnacentral:rRNA from 1 species
GACGAACGCUGGCGGCGUGCCUAAUACAUGCAAGUCGAGCGGAUCUUUGGGAGCUUGCUCCCAUUGGUUAGCGGCGGACGGGUGAGCAACACGUGGGCAACCUGCCUGUAAGACUGGGAUAACACCGGGAAACCGGUGCUAAUACCUGAUAAUCCUUUUCCUUUCAUGAGGGACAGCUGAAAGACGGUUUCGGCUGUCACUUACAGAUGGGCCCGCGGCGCAUUAGCUAGUUGGUGAGGUAACGGCUCCCCAAGGCGACGAUGCGUAGCCGACCUGAGAGGGUGAUCGGCCACACUGGGACUGGGACACGGCCCAGACUCCUACGGGAGGCAGCAGUAGGGAAUCUUCCGCAAUGGACGGAAGUCUGACGGAGCAACGCCGCGUGAGCGAUGAAAGCCUUCGGGUCGUAAAGCUCUGUUGUUAGGGAAGAACAAGUAUCGGAGUAACUGCCGGUACCUUGACGGUACCUAACCAGAAAGCCACGGCUAACUACGUGCCAGCCGCCGCGGUAAUAC